rnacentral:rRNA from 1 species
GGACCCGCACAAGUAGUGGAGCAUGUGGUUUAAUUCGAAGAUACGCGCAGAACCUUACCAACACUUGACAUGUUCGUCGCGACUUUAAGAGAUUAGAGUUUUCGGUUCGGCCGGACGAAACACAGGUGCUGCAUGGCUGUCGUCAGCUCGUGUCGUGAGAUGUUGGGUUAAGUCCCGCAACGAGCGCAACCCUCACUUUUAGUUGCCAUCAUUUAGUUGGGCACUCUGAAAGAACUGCCAGUGAUAAGCUGGAGGAAGGUGGGGAUGACGUCAAGUCCUCAUGGCCCUUACGUGUUGGGCUACACACGUGCUACAAUGGUAUCUACAACAGGAAGCAAAACUGCGAAGUUAAGCAAAUCCCAAAAAGAUACCUCAGUUCGGAUUGCACUCUGCAACUCGAGUGCAUGAAGCUGGAAUUACUAGUAAUCGUGGAUC